rnacentral:rRNA from 1 species
GACGGAGGAUGCAAGCGUUAUCCGGAUUCAUUGGGUUUAAAGGGAGCGUAGGUGGUUUUAUAAGUCAGUGGUGAAAUCUCUCAGCUUAACUGAGAAAUUGCCAUUGAUACUGUAGAACUUGAGUACAGAUGCUGUGGGCGGAAUAUGACAUGUAGUGGUGAAAUACAUAGAGAUGUCAUAGAACACCGAUUGCGAAGGCAGCUCACAAAACUGUAACUGACACUGAGGCUCGAAAGUGCGGGGAUCAAACAGG